CCACGUCCACGGUUUCGUCCAUAACCUCGUCCUCCUCUAUGCCCUUUCCCACGUUCAUUCUUCUGGAAUGACGUGUUAUGUACUUCAGGUAACUGGGCAGAGCCUGUGGGACGUAUCUGAUGGUUUUUCAAUAACAACUCAUUAUUCUUUUCAGCCACAAGAAGGAGAGAUAUCAGCUCGCCAUAUUUCUGAAAAUUCCGCUCCCUAUAUUGUUGAGCCAGGAUCAUAGUGUUGGGGUGAAAGGUUGAGAGGGUCUUUUCAAUCAUUUCAGCAUCAGUGAUAUUUUCACCACAUAAAAUUAAUUUUGAGCUUAUCUUGAAAAGAGCAGAAUUAUAUUCAGCUACGGAUUUGAAAUCCUGUAGCCUCAAAUUAAUCCAGUCAUAUCGGGCAGAUGGCAAGUGAACAAGUUUCUGGUGAUCAAAUCUAUCCUUGAGAUUGUUCCUGAGUGGAUUUUUGAUAGUGAGGUAUUCAGAUCCUUCAGGUGGCCAGAAUGAUAUUGAUUGCGAGACCGACCACGGAAAUUUCCACGUCCACGGUUUCGUCCAUAACCUUGUCCUCCUCUAUGCCCUUUCCCACGUUCAUUCUUCUGGAAUGACGUGUUAUGUACUUCAGGUAACUGGGCAGAGCCUGUGGGACGUAUCUGAUGGUUUUUCAAUAACAACUCAUUAUUCUUUUCAGCCACAAGAAGGAGAGAUAUCAGCUCGCCAUAUUUCUGAAAAUUCCGCUCCCUAUAUUG
rnacentral:lncRNA from 1 species